rnacentral:rRNA from 1 species
UGGGGAAUUUUGGACAAUGGGCGCAAGCCUGAUCCAGCAAUGCCGCGUGCAGGAUGAAGGCCUUCGGGUUGUAAACUGCUUUUGUACGGAACGAAACGGCCCUCUCUAAUACGGGGGGCUAAUGACGGUACCGUAAGAAUAAGCACCGGCUAACUACGUGCCAGCAGCCGCGGUAAUACGUAGGGUGCGAGCGUUAAUCGGAAUUACUGGGCGUAAAGCGUGCGCAGGCGGUCUUGUAAGACAGAUGUGAAAUCCCCGGGCUCAACCUGGGACCUGCAUUUGUGACUGUAAGGCUGGAGUACGGCAGAGGGGGAUGGAAUUCCGCGUGUAGCAGUGAAAUGCGUUAGAUAUGCGGAGGAACACCGAUGGCGAAGGCAAUCCCCUGGCCUGUACUGACGCUCAUGCACGAAAGCGUGGGGAGCAAACA